AGAGCGAACGCUGGCGGCAGGCUUAACACAUGCAAGUCGAGCGGGCGUAGCAAUACGUCAGCGGCAGACGGGUGAGUAACGCGUGGGAACGUACCUUUUGGUUCGGAACAACACAGGGAAACUUGUGCUAAUACCGGAUAAGCCCUUACGGGGAAAGAUUUAUCGCCGAAAGAUCGGCCCGCGUCUGAUUAGCUAGUUGGUGAGGUAACGGCUCACCAAGGCGACGAUCAGUAGCUGGUCUGAGAGGAUGAUCAGCCACAUUGGGACUGAGACACGGCCCAAACUCCUACGGGAGGCAGCAGUGGGAAUAUUGGACAAUGGGCGCAAGCCUGAUCCAGCCAUGCCGCGUGAGUGAUGAAGGCCCUAGGGUUGUAAAGCUCUUUGUGCGGGAAGAUAAUGACGGUACCGCAAGAAUAAGCCCCGGCUAACUUCGUGCCAGCAGCCGC
rnacentral:rRNA from 1 species